UUGAAACUAGACAGAACUGACCCAAAGUGCUAAAGACCAUCUAUGGAUGAGUAAAUAUGACUCUACCGCAUACGACCCUCACCUGUUUUGCCGUCUCUGAUCUCAGGAUCUAAUUCAGGGGAAAGCGAGGAAUGGCAAGGAAACGGAGAAAUACGGAAAUGACGAAAAUGAGAGAGAAAGAGGAAGAUGAAGAGAAGCAUAAAGCGAGAGUAAGCUGGAUACGAGGAGCAGAGAAAGGAAGAGAUAGAGAGAGAGAGAGAGAGAUGGAAAGAGAGAGAUGAGGAGAAGGUGAAAUACAUCAAGAUUGCAUCCCCACUCAACAUCACGGAGGACGGGAGAGGACGUUCUCCCCUUCUCGUGGUCGCUGCAGGGGAACGUGAGGGAGAUUGUAGGUGGAUGAGGAGGUAAAGGACGACAGGGGGGUGAGUGACGGUGGUGGUUGUGGCUGAAUUCAACGGGGUGUACCGUCUCUGUUGCCAGCCCCGCCCGUCAUAUUCCGCGAGGGCCAAUCCCGCGAGCUCUUUUUAUUAGAUCCAUAAAUCCAUCAUAUCGGCCUCACCCCAUGGACCGUACGCCCUCGCGUACUCAUUGGUCGGCAUUAUGAUCUCACACCUACGGAGAUCGCGAGGGUUUAUGGCGGUGCGCGAUCCGGAUCCGCCGCGCCUUUGGCGCAUUGCGGACUUUUCUUCACUCCGCCUCGUUAUUAAUAUUGAAUUUUUCCUCCGUGAGAAGAGCGAUCGGGCCGAGAAGGCCGAGAAGCACCCUUCGAGGUGCGCCAAGAACUUGCUCGCGGUGGUGCUCGCGGAGGAGUGGUACGGCACUCGUGUGUAGGUGGGCUCAAAAGGGCACCUAUGCUGGUGGGGUACACGAGAUGCGCGCGCAAAUCUUCCAGCCUUGCUCUGCAGACCACUGUCCACUCUUCGCCACCCGACGUUCUUUCCUCAUCGCGCGCCCUACGUUCCGACGAGACUGACGAAACGUUUCUGCCGGAGGAAUCGGAUAUUUGCCCGUUCCCAGAGGGCUAGUUCUCUCGUGUCCCUGAGGAGCCGCAGGACCGAAAGAAACCGACGAUGAGCGGGAAGCGCAGGAGCGGGAAAGACUCGAAGACCAUCAGACUGCUUGACGGACGCGAGGAUCAAUAUCCUCCGAUACCAUACUCCGAAAGCUAUAUACGAACCCAUUUCCACCGCCAAUAAAACGCCAUACCUACGUGUAUUGCGCUAUUCGGGCGAUUCUCUUCCUGGCCUCCUAUUGGCCGUAAAACACUGGUCGGCUGAAAGGUUGAAUUUUAUCGCGGGGAAAGAAAUAUCGAUGUAAAGGAGAGCAACUCAGGGCGGUAUAUACGUAUAUACAAACAGUCGCUAUGUCUGUUGUGCGUUACAGUAAAUGUGUCGGUGAAACGUUUCGCGUUUUCCAUGAUCUCAAAAUAAGAAAACGUAGAACAAUGUUUAUAUUCUUAAAAAUGCUCGUGUUUCUCUACAGCAAGGCGGCAUACAGAUUAGUCCGUAAAAUAAUAAUUUAUAUAAUCAAUAUUUAACAAGUAUGAUGGAACAUAUUGGUAUCAUUUCCAAUUAAUUAUUAAUAUGUCCUACGAUGAAUAUACAUAAUUUAAUAAUAUUGUAAAAUAGAUAUAUUUCACAAUAUUUUAUUUUGUAUUUAUUAUAUAAACUGCAAGAGGCUCUUUCCGUACAAUCGACAUGGAUUAAAAGCACAUGUGGGAAACAUGUUUUUGAAUUCAUAAAACACAUAACAUGAUAUUUACGAGAUUUCUCAGUAGUCUGCAUUUAAAUUGUCAUAUUUAAAUCAAAUAGAAAAAUAAUAAAACUUGCAAUCUUAUUCAAUCCCUUUCUCUCUUAAUAUAUUCGCGAAAUCUAGUUUUAACCGCGAGUACAGCCAGAUAUUCCGCAAACGAAAUGACGAGAUAGAUAGAAGAAUACCGUGAAUAUGGAUAAGACACCCUGACGCGAUCUCAUUGGAAGAUCCGCGGCUCCAAUCAUAAGACGUACCGAUAUCGCGUUACGCUAUGAUAUGACAUUAUCAUAACGCGGCCGGUUUAUUAUUGGUCGCGGGUGCGCCCUACUCUGCCUCCUUCGCUCCUUCCUUUCUUCCGUUCUUCCAGCCACCCCCGAGCCGUGCCACGACGCAUACGUUUCUCGGUUGGUGAGGUGGGGCUCAGAGCCCCCCUAUCUGCUACCACCCCGCUGCCAACUGCCGCUUCCCCUUCUAGCCCGAACCGCUCUGCCGCCAUCUCCCCGCCGUCCUGGCCACCCUCCACCCCCGCCGAAUUAUGAGGAUCAAUACACGAGGAAGCUUGCAAGGGCAGCGCCGACGCUACUCGUUUGUCGACCUUCUUUGAGCGUGGACCUUCUUCGUCUCGCUGGACAUUCGUAGGAAUGACAGCAUCUCGGUCGCCAGCUUCCUCUCUCACGCACCAUUUUUUUUAUCCUAGCAUUCCAUUCUUUUACAUGUCUACCUACGUACAUAUAACUAUGCAAGUAUAUACGUAUUCUUGCAAUGUAUUGUAUAUGCAAUGAAAUGAUCGUGUACAUAUAUAUAAAUAUUAUUUUCGUAAAUAUUAAAUUUUACAUCUUUUAUGGAUGUUAAAGCUUUGAAAAAAAAGAUUCAAAAAAGUAAAAUUAUCAAACAUUUUUAUGAAAUAUAAAAGAAUCUUCGACUGAAUUCUUCAAUUAGAUUACGUUUAUUAGCCUUUCUUUAUAUCACUAAUUAUUGAUACAAUGGCAUUGCCUUCUUCCUCAUAUGCAUCGAUCAUUAUUUUAUUCCAAUAUUCUUGCCCUCUUUAUAUGCAUAGAUAUACUGUCAUAUAUAGGAUUACUCUACUAGUCAAUGAACAAAUAAGAAAUUUAUGAUAUAUUUACAAAAUAAAAAAAUAUAAAA